UAGAGUUUGAUCAUGGCUCAGGAUGAACGCUAGCGGCAGGCUUAACACAUGCAAGUCGAAGGGCAUCGCGGGGAGUGCUUGCACUCCCUGGCGGCGACUGGCGCACGGGUGAGUAACACGUAUGCAACCUGCCCUCCACAGGGGGACAACCUUCCGAAAGGGAGGCUAAUCCCGCGUAAAUCUCGAUGGGGCAUCCCAUUGAGAGGAAAGCUUCGGCGGUGGAGGAUGGGCAUGCGGCGCAUUAGCUAGUCGGCGGGGUAACGGCCCACCGAGGCGACGAUGCGUAGGGGUUCUGAGAGGAAGGUCCCCCACACUGGUACUGAGACACGGACCAGACUCCUACGGGAGGCAGCAGUGAGGAAUAUUGGUCAAUGGGCGGGAGCCUGAACCAGCCAAGCCGCGUGAGGGAAUAAGGCCCUAUGGGUCGUAAACCUCUUUUGUCGGGGAACAAAAGCGGGGACGCGUCCCCGUCUGCGUGUACCCGAAGAAAAAGCAUCGGCUAACUCCGUGCCAGCAGCCGCGGUAAUACGGAGGAUGCGAGCGUUAUCCGGAUUUAUUGGGUUUAAAGGGUGCGUAGGCGGUAUGGUAAGUCAGCGGUAAAAGCCCGGGGCUCAACCCCGGCGAGCCGUUGAAACUGCCGUGCUAGAGAGGAAGAGAAGUAGGCGGAAUGCGCAGUGUACCGGUGAAAUGCAUAGAUAUCACGCAAAACUCCGAUUGCGAAGGCAGCGUACCGGCGCCCAACUGACGCUGAAGCACGAAGGCGUGGGUAUCGAACAGGAUUAGAUACCCUGGUAGUCCACACAGUAAACGAUGAAUGCUAGUUGUCCGGGGCGAUUGAGUUCUGGGUGACACAGCGAAAGCGUUAAGCAUUCCACCUGGGGAGUACGCCGGCAACGGUGAAACUCAAAGGAAUUGACGGGGGCCCGCACAAGCGGAGGAACAUGUGGUUUAAUUCGAUGAUACGCGAGGAACCUUACCCGGGCUCAAACGCAGGAGGGAUGUUUUUGAAAGGAGGCAGCCAGCAAUGGUCUCCUGCGAGGUGCUGCAUGGUUGUCGUCAGCUCGUGCCGUGAGGUGUCGGCUUAAGUGCCAUAACGAGCGCAACCCCUACCUACAGUUGCCAUCGCGUGAUGGCGGGCACUCUGUGGGGACUGCCUGCGCAAGCAGUGAGGAAGGCGGGGAUGACGUCAAAUCAGCACGGCCCUUACGUCCGGGGCGACACACGUGUUACAAUGGCAGGUACAGCGGGAAGCCACCCGGCGACGGGGCGCGGAACCCGAAAACCUGUCUCAGUUCGGAUUGGAGUCUGCAACCCGACUCCAUGAAGCUGGAUUCGCUAGUAAUCGCGCAUCAGCCACGGCGCGGUGAAUACGUUCCCGGGCCUUGUACACACCGCCCGUCAAGCCAUGGAAGCCGGGGGUGCCUGAAGUGCGUGACCGCAAGGAGCGCCCUAGGGUAAAACCGGUGACUGGGGCUAAGUCGUAACAAGGUAACCGUA
rnacentral:rRNA from 1 species